rnacentral:rRNA from 1 species
CGCGGCCUAUCAGCUUGUUGGCGGGGUAGUGGCUUACCAAGGCUUUGACGGGUAGCCGGCCUGAGAGGGUGACCGGCCACAUUGGGACUGAGAUACGGCCCAGACUCCUACGGGAGGCAGCAGUGGGGAAUAUUGCACAAUGGGCGGAAGCCCGAUGCAGCAACGCCGCGUGCAGGAUGACGGCCUUCGAGUUGUAAACCGCUUUCGCCUGUGACGAAGCGUGAGUGACGGUAAUGGGUAAAGAAGCACCGGCUAACUACGUGCCAGCAGCCGCGGUGAUACGUAGGGUGCGAGCGUUGUCCGGAUUUAUUGGGCGUAAAGGGCUCGUAGGUGGUUGAUCGCGUCGGAAGUGUAAUCUUGGGGCUUAAUCCUGAGCGUGCUUUCGAUACGGGUUGACUUGAGGAAGGUAGGGGAGAAUGGAAUUCCUGGUGGAGCAGUGGAAUGCGCAGAUAUCAGGAGGAACACCAGUGGCGAAGGCGGUUCUCUGGGCCUUUCCUGACGCUGAGGAGCGAAAGCGUGGGGAGCGAACAGGCUUAGAUACCCUGGUAGUCCACGCUGUAAACGGUGGGUACUAGGUGUAGGGUCCAUUCCACGGGUUCCGUGCCGUAGCUAACGCUUUAAGUACCCCGCCUGGGGAGUACGG